GCCCUAGUAGCUCAGCGCCAGAGCGCCGGUCUUGUAAUCCGGGAGUCGGACGUUAAAACCCUCCCUAGUGCU
rnacentral:tRNA from 1 species